GCCUGCAUGGUGUAGUGGUUUGAACUUUGGACUAUGACUCUGGAGAUCAGGGUUCAAAUACCAGUUCAGGCA
rnacentral:tRNA from 1 species